AGAGCGAGUGGCUCGUUAGGCUUCUGGAAAGCGAGCAGAGAGGCGAUCAUCCCGAUUACGUCAACUGACAUCGACGGGUAAUCGACUACAGCAUCAAGAACGUUGUCGCCGCCUCUGCCGGCGCCGAGUCCCGCGAGGACGGAGAGGCCGCGGAGGACUACGUCGAUGCCUGGGACGCCGCGUUCGUCCAGGCCGACCAGACCGUUCUCUUUCUCUCCGUCUCUCGAUAUUUUCGGGUUCGACGGAAGGUGGUGUUUCUAUUCUGGAUUUCCUUCUUGAUUUUGCAAUAGGUUUUGGUAUUUUUCUUUAUACUUCUUGAUUUUGGUUAUUUAUCUCCGCUGAGGUCAUUAAAUACUGCAACAAGCUCGUCGCUGCCUCCUUUAGCAGCGGGGAGUGGGACGUAUCGGCGACCGACGAAGAUCACCACUUCUGGGACGCCGCGGCAUUCCUAGUCGACCAGGUCAUCAUCCUCUACUACGACCUCGUAGCGGUCCCCUCUUUCCCUUUUCACUCUCGUUCUAAGCUUUCGAUGGAACCUAGUGCUCGAUAUGUCGGUUCUUUUUUUCCCUGCGUUUCUUGAUUUUGCAAUAGUUUUCGUUUAUUUUUCCUUGAGCUUCUUGAUUCUGCAAUAGAUGCCGGUUCUUGUUCUUUGUCCUUGCAGUCGACAUGGGUCUUCUUUACGCUCCAUGGCCCGAUUCAUGAUUCGAAUUGGAUUAUUUUUCUUGAUAUGUCGGUUCCGUCUCAUCAUGCUUCUUGAUUUGCACCAUGCUUCCGUCUCGAUUUUUAGUUUAUAUUAGAUGUUGUUCUGCUUCUGGAUCUGCAUUAUAGCAAAGACGUCUCUAAUCUAUACAGAUUUUGACUUUGUAUUUGCUUGUCCUCCUCCGGAUUGUGUUGGGUUGUAAUCGCAUUAGUUCCAUCUGAUCUUUCAGAUAGAGAACUCAAACGACGCCAUUUGUGCCUCAUCAAGUUUUUGUCCUAUUAAACUUGCGACGGUUGGAGUUAGGCAGCGGAUCACCUAUUUGGGCAACAAACCCAACUUGUCAGUUAUCGAGAUUGAGAGUACACAAUUACCAACGGCUUCAUAGGUUGUGAAGUUUUGAUUAUAAUUACAUACGGCAGCACUUUGGAAAUUACAUACAUGUAUAUAAUUACAUACGGCAGCACUUUGGAAAUUACAUACAUGUAUAUAUAUAAUUUCGGAUUAGGCUUAUUGGAUAUUGGAUCAGAUUAAGGUUUAGGCUUAAAUCAUUCCCCAAUCCAGACCUGAAUUGGAUUGAGAAUUCUCAGUCACAACCCAACAGAAAAUAUAACCAGACCAACCCAUCUAUUAAUCCGGAUCUGAAUCGGAAUGGAUCAUGUUGGAUCCAAGAAAAACUAUAUCAUCCCCUACCCAGUUUGGUGGGGCCUUUAGUUCCGAGGUUCUGGCAGGUGGGUAACGUAGGUGGAGUGUAGGAAUAAGAGUAUGCCUUAAUAAAUGAAAAUGGGGGCCACGUUCGAACUCCUUAAUCCACUUGAAAAGUAGUCUACAAAGGUUCAUUCGACUUUUUUGAUUUGAUUUGAUUCCACUAUUUAAGGUGAUCUUUUUCGUUCUUUCUCCUCAGAUAUAGGAGGGAGACUACCAUGGUUGGUUUGCGAUCCUCGAGACGAUGGUCGAUCUUAUGACGUUGACAUUGGACCACGCCAAGGUUACGGAUAUAAUGCAACAAUCUUUUUCGUUAUCCUUAUUCUUGAUCUGCACUAAAGAAUUACAUUCAAGUAACUCUUUUUUAAGCAGGAAUUGGACUUCUAACUUUUGUUGAUUGCAUUGUGGUUAUCUUUUUUUUUUUUUUUUCUUGGUGCCUACAUCUAUAAUGGUUGAUCAACUGUCUACAUAUUUGUAUGUGGUAACAUGUACAUUAUGACCUAAGCAGUGGAUCACAUACUUGGGUAACCAACUUGAUAGGGCAUAUUAUGGAUUCCUUCACGUGGACAUGAUCCCCCACCACGCCAAUGUAAGCAUGGAACCUUGGGAGGAAGACGCGGCGUCACAUCAGAUGUGCCACCAGGAAUUCGGAAUGACGGUCGCUCUCCUCUCGUGCCGGGACAGCACGAACCAGUGUUGCCCUGACAAGGACUGCACCGGGAAGCUUGGGAUGGCAUCACAUGACACCGUUCCACAAAUCCCGAGCGACGAACGUCCGAAGGUACGAACUUAUCGCUCAGGGAGUCGACCGUCGUGCGAAAGUCACAUAUGAUCAACUCUCAGGCACUAUAAUAAAAUCUCAUUGCCAGCCAACAUAUGGCAAGGGGCAGAGGAUCUUCGAC
rnacentral:lncRNA from 1 species